rnacentral:lncRNA from 1 species
GUUAACGGCGUUUUUAGACGUGGGUGGGCAAUUAACGCUAACGAAAUCUGGCUAGUUUCGUUAACAACAUUUUUAGACCCUUGAUUAAGUGAUUAAACGGCUGAGAUGGUGAGUUGGAUGUGCCCUCUCGUGCUUUUAUUAGCAGAGAUAAUUGCCUCGAACCAAGUUGACCCCAUUCUCCAUCUAUCCUGCCCCGUCUCUGUUCAGAGUCAUGCUCGUCGUUCCCCUCGCCGCCCCAUCUCUCUCCCCCAGCCUGUAUCCUGCCCUGCCUCUAGGGCCUCCGCUCCAUCUAGCUGGUACGCCGUACCGCUCGACGGCCUCGCGGCGACGGCCGCACAACCUUCCAGCCACAACUUCACAAACCCAAGUUCGUUCUCAUCUUCACGAGGAGGCCCUAUGCUCCACAUGCAUCCGUGGACUGCGGUCUACCUCGUCGGAACACCAUCUCAGUUCGGGAAUGAAGCCAUCACCACUGAACUACUACUGGACUAGCCCACCCCAUCCCCAUCUGGCCUAGGGUUUUUUAAAGUCAUCUCACUUGAUACAUGGUUCAAUUCCUGCAUUGCUAUUUAAUUCUCGCGUAAUUGUGUUAUGAGAUUUGUGUGAUCUCUCUAUGUCAGCACUUCCAUUUUCGUUCCAUGUCAGUGGGCGUGAAAUUGUGUCCUGCAUUCUUAUUCGAUCGCUAAAUCAUCCAUAAUUAUCCGUGAGAUAGGUAUGUACAUUGUACAAAUAUGCCUCCCUGUUGGUGACAAUACUAGUUUUGUUUUAUUUGCAAAUUUCCUCCUUUCAAUUAUAUAGCACUAUUUAUGUAACCAGUCCCAUGUUUUCGUGCUUCUAAAAUUAAUACUACUGCUUCGUGGGGCUGGACAAGUGCUCCCAUGAAUCAACAACAAAUCCUUUAAAUUUGCAUGUUGACGAUGCAAAAGAUGCACCCUCACAAUUGCUGCUGCCGCAAGCUUAGCUUGUUUCAUUGUCAAUGUUUUAUUCUACGCUUCCAACCAAGAUGAGUAAUGUUCAGUUGACAUAUUUUCAUCCUUCCUAUAUUUUAUUUAAAUAACAUGCUUCGUACAAUUUAUCUUAUUCUGUUUAGCAAAUAAGCUUCUUACUCAUAAUGCCUUGUUUGCAUACAAGUUUAGCACACAUCUUCAUGUCUCAGUUUAUUCCGUCAAUUCACAUAUCUUCAGAUUUGCUGACAUACUACAAUUUUUAUGUUUUCAGUGGAGCCACAAUAAUGAAGCAGGCGAUAUGCUCAAGGGUACGCACCCUGCCUCUGAUACCCCCAUCCUCCGCGCCACCCGUGUCCUCUCCGACAAUGACACCAUGAUUCGAUCCUGUAUACACUUUGCUCCUAGGCCAGUUGCACCGCCCCCACUCCUCGAUGCACCCGCCGAAAUCUGGCCGCAAACCGUGCAUCCCCAUGUUGGCCUUAGUCUUAGUUUGUUUUGAUGUCCAAUGUUCUAUGCUUCCACUUAAGAUGAGUCAUAUUGAGAUACUGUAUGUUCAUGCUUCCUUCAAUUGUCUUUGCCAUUGUUAUCACCACUGAACAUGUCAUGCUUCCAUAUUAUAUUACAUAUGUUUCUUUGUUCUUUUUGAAAACAGGCUUUCACCCCGUUUUAUAUAUAAAGCAACAACCAUACAGAGUACACGGUUGAACGAUACAAGGAGAUGAGGUGACCCCAUACGCGACCGAUCCCAAGAUAUCCGGAUCACGCAGAACGCACGUGACUACACAAUCGAAAUAAAGUACAUGAUGGACUAAAGCAACACCGCACUAAGCCCUAUAACACCUAAGCUCCACGCCAAUGCCUCCAGGAGGGAUAAUGGCGCUAGGCGUCGCCGUUGCCGAGUCUACAACAGACAGAGGUUUGUUCUAGUUAGUUGGCUUCCAGUUUUUGGUUUUUAAUUUUUCUAAUUUACCUGCAUUGUUGUUACGUAAGAAUUAUAUUCUUCACUACUAAUGUACAAUGCAAGUACUAUCAAAUGUUGCUUCCUACCUUGGAUACUUAUGGAUCAUGCCUAACUGAUAUAUGCUUCAAGCAGAGUUGUGCUAGCUUCAAGGAAGAUAAGUGUUGGCGAGACAUGUAUAUAUGGCGAAUUCAAGCACUAACAGGCAUGAAGACACUUGAAUCCAUCUCACAAUGAAGACUACCACACCCCAGAUGAAGGGAAGUAGGUCACUAGUCUCUAGGAAACAUACAGUAUGACUUACGAAGCAUUGUACUACUGGCGACUUCAAGGAAUUAUAUUGUAUGAAUGGAUGAAGAAUGAAAUCAAAUUCAUGAAUUUAGGAAACAUCACACAGUUGAAGACUUGAAAUAAAUAUAAUGUAUGAAUUGACGAAGGCUGGAAACACAUUUAUGUUACGUUGGAAGCAGAAGAGUUUUGCGAUGGAAAACAUAAACUUUUGAUGGAACGUGGGUGGAAGUAAAAAAAAUCUUGGGUUUAAAACCUAAUAAAAUAUAUAAGGAACCCACAUUUUCCCAUGUGGAAAAAACAAUUCUUGGAUGCAAGAUUUUGUUUUAUUGAAGUAAAGUUCUUGGACAACUGUUUUUAGGUCGAACGAAACCGUGAUUUCAAUAGAAGCAAAUUUUGCGUUGAUGGAAGCAAAAUUUAUUGUGUUGGGAAAAAAAGUUGAGUGAACUUUACUAGCAACCAAAAAACAUUGGAUGAUUUUUUCAAAAAAUAAACAAGAAUGAAUUUUUAUUUUUACAGGUGAAGAAUGUAAUUUAACUAGUUUCAAAAUUUAAUUGAGUGAUGAAAGGUGAAGCAGAAUGGUCAACUCGUUUUUGAGAUGCAAUGAUACCAAAUGUGAAUUGACAGAUAAGCACACAAUAAAUGGAGAGUGUUAUGUAUAAAACCUACCAAAUAAGCAAUACCCUUCUUCAACAGGAUCCAGCAUCCAUUAGACACUAAUCAUACGGCCAUGACCUAGUAUGAUGGGAUCCUAGGGAUCAAUAGUCUGAUCCCUAGUGGUUCCUUACAAGAAAUCAGUAGUCUGCUUCCUAACACCUCCCCUUUUAUAUGCAUCUACGGCGGCAGUGAAGCCGUAUGGAUUUGACUGGACCCUUCGAGGCUCGAGUUAGAAAAAAUCGAU